GACGGCGAAUGUGGGGGCGGCUCCCAACAGUCACCCAUCCAUUAGUGGCUCAUGUGUUCUUAAGACAAACUCAGCAGGCUGUACCUGUCCAGAGUGAGUAUAAUGAUCUGUUGCAGUGGAUCCCAGCGUGUGGUGGGUCGGGGUGGGGCCGGCAGAGUUUGGACAGGAGUGCAGAGCUGUUUUGCCAGUUUCUGCUAAAGCCCUGUGGAUGAAGAGCCUGCUAACUCCAAAGAGAUGGACCCCAGUCCUACUCUUAGAGUCCCCACUGCAGAGGUCCAGGUAGGCCCCUUACUUCUAUGCCCACAAAUACCUGGGCUAAAGGAAAGGCAUUGGCCAGCGUGUAACAAAUCUGGCGGGCAGGGAAGGUUUAUAAAAGAAAACCCAGGAGCCGGGAGCGGUUGCCAUCCCCUGGUCUGCAUCUGCAGGCUCUGUCGCCACCUAGUGGUGCGUGUGUGUAUAUCAGCCUCACAGGUCUGUCUCAUCCUGGGUCUCAUCUUGGCAAGGUCUCAUCUGUCUAAGGAUUGUCGCUUAAGGGGGUCGAACAGGGACACAUGGGUGUCAUCUGUAGGCCCAGUCUCAGAUAAGGCACAGGGAGUGUUUGUCAAGGAACAUGAGCGUCAGGGUCAGCGAUGGACCACACAUACUCUUAAAAGUAAGAUGGGGGCUGGAGUGAGGGCUCAGCAGUUGGCUGCUCUUCCAAGCGGUGCUGAGUUCAAUUCCCAACACCCACAUGGUGGUUCACAAUUGUUUCUCACCCUAGUCCCAUGGGAUCCUCUGCUAGGCAUGCAUGCAUAUAAAACACCCAUAUAUAAAAAGUCCACACCUACAUAAAUAUUUAAGAAAAGUAAGAUGACUGUGCCAACUUUGCUUAGAGAGAGAGAGAGAGAGAGA
rnacentral:lncRNA from 1 species